ACUAAACAAACACUUCAUUUGCAUUUGCAUGCCUUGCAUGGGAAACUAUCUGAGAAAACAAUAGACCCAGCGCACCAACAGAAGCAGACAACCAACCGAGUCAGUGUGUGUAAUGAACCAUGGUGUACCAACCACUAUGUGUGU